CCUACGGGUGGCAGCAGUGGGGAAUAUUGCACAAUGGGGGAAACACUGAUGCAGCGACGCCGCGUGAGUGAAGAAGUAAUUCGUUAUGUAAAGCUCUAUCAGCAGGGAAGAAAAUGCCGGUACCUGAGUAUGAAGCCCUGGCGAACUCCGUGCCAGCAGCCGCGGUAAUACGUAGGGGGCAAGCGUUAUCCGGAGUGACUGGGUGUAAAGGGAGCGUAGACGGCGGUGCAAGUCAGGAGUGAAAGGCGGGGGCUCAACCCUCGGACUGCUAGGGAAACUAUACGGCUGGAGUGCAAGAGAGGUAAGCAGAAUUCCUAGUGUAGCGGUGAAAUGCGUAGAUAUUAGGAGGAAUACCAGUGGCGAAGGCGGCUUACUGGACUGUAACUGACGUUGAGGUGCGAAAGCGUGGGGAGCAAACAGGAUUAGAUACCCGAGUAGUC
rnacentral:rRNA from 1 species